AAAAAAGACCACAGAAGGAGCACGGGCUCGCCUCCUCUCCCUCUCGCCCAUGGAGUCAUCGCCGCCGCCACCACCCACGUCGGCCGCUUCCGGCGACCUCUGGCGACGCGCAACACGCCCCCGAGCUCCCCACGGUCCAGGCCUCCCUCCCCUCCGGCCAGAUUCUCUGCUCCCGUCCUCUACCGCCUGCUUGCAACCCCACUCCUGUGGCUAGGGUUUCGGGCAGGGCUUCGCCAGCGCGUCUCCGGCGGCCCCAGUUAUUUGGAUCAUCGUCGUGUCACAAGUUUCCGACAUCGCUUUACACACCGUGGACUUCACCGGAAAUCCGUCUGCACGUACUCCGAUGUCCGCCGGAACCUCAUCUACCUGUGGACUGAGGAAGCUGCCAAAAUGCAGGACAUAUUCUUUUCCUUCACGGACUACUACAACACACGGGCAUUUUCACGAAUAGAACAUCGGGAUUUUAUGUUUUUGUAGCCUGCACCGGAGGCUGUAGAGUUAAGUUUUUGUACAUUUUGUGAAUCGUUUUGUUCCAGAUUCUCUUUGUUUAUAGUCUAACUAUAUAAGGUUAUUUGCUAUGUGCACAUUUGCUUUUUCAAUUGUUGAUCAUGUCUCUGUGCACUUACAUCCUUCUGUUAACAGUUUAGUGAUCUAAUAAUUAUUCAGAAGGGACGCUGCAUGUUCCUAGAUGCAUAGCUUUUCUUAUAUAGAUUUUCAUUACACUGAGAUUUUUUUUGAGGGAUAACAAUGGGAUUUAAGAUAGUAGUAUAUUUUUGUAGAAUUCUCAAACUGAAAUCCUAUCAAACCAUACCUUCAAAGGCCAACAUAAUGGCACCUUAAAUAAAUGCUAAUCUGCACUCACGCUGCAAUCUGGCGCCCAUUCUUCUGGUGAUUUGGUCAAAGCUACAACCAAGCAAAGAUAUUUUACAUGCUAUAUGAACUAAGAUAUGGAUUUUGUGUUCCCAGGUCUAUAAUAUCCAUGCUCAGCCGGUUCCCUGCAAGCGCUUUCGGCCAUGACCUCAAGUUCUGCAGCUAGGCCGUGAAGUGUUGGUCCUUCUCAUCGUCCACCGAUGAUGGUGCCCGAGAGAAGUCGGGGAAUGAGGAUGUUGCUGUCAUGGUCGUCGAAACGACUUGCCGUGGACGCAGUCACGCACUAGAUGCCAUUGACGGCUAGCCAUGGACGAUCACCUCGCCGCCUCCGCAAAAUAUGGAUGCACGAGAUUCUGGUACUAACAUUGUGGAGUGUGUGCGAUUUCAGUGCUGUGACUUAUACACUUUGUGGAAGAAACCCCCGGUUUGAUUUACAGGUGAUGCUGAUUCGUCUGGGAUCUACUUCUGACAGAUCAAUUUGGUUUGUUGGCUGCUGAGUGGCUUCAUGUGAUGCUACCCAGCAGCCAACAAAGCCCCAAAGCUACACGUAUGUACUAUAACAUGGCCCCAGAGCUACACGUAUGUACCAUAAUGUUUCAUCUUUCGAUUUUGACGUUCAAUAUUGACUCCUUGAUCCUGUUUCGUAGGGUUCAUGAUUGACAAUUUGUCUUGGGCUAUGGAACAAUUCAGACUUUAGAUGUACAUCAUAUUUGAUGCAUCAGCCUAAUCUGUACUUCAAAUUACAGUGUAUAAUUUGUUUGAUAGGG
rnacentral:rRNA from 1 species